rnacentral:lncRNA from 1 species
AAGCACUUAACACUAAAAGGAAUAAGAUUUUCCAAAUGUUAUUUUGUAACGUCAUAAAGGCCAAACCGACGUAUCUGGAAGUUACACUUAUGCAAAGACCUUCAUUGCCUAGGUGCUGGCUUUGUGUGGUAGUGCCAACCGCCAAGACAGUUCCAAUCCUCAUGACCUGCCUAGGCUGCCUCAUGGCCCUGACCUAUUAACUGUUUGUGGGCUCUGAGAUAAAAAUCACUUCUAUUCUAUGGCAUAUCCUGAGUUUUGUGGGGUUUUUUUUUUUUUUCUUCUUCCCCUUUAGGUAUGAAUUAAGUGAAAAGAUGCUGUCUGCCUGCAGCUUAUUGAAAUAUAACAUAAAUGAUCCCAAAGCUUUGGCCAGCAAAGAUAUGAGGAUCUGUCUGAACACCCUCCAGCAUGAGUGGUUCCGAGUGUCCAGUCAGAAGUCCGCUGUGCCAGCCAUGGUGGGUGACUACAUCGCCGCGUUCGAGGCUGUCUCCCCGGACGUGCUCCGGUACAUCAUCAACAUGGCGGACGGCAACGGGAACACCGCCCUCCACUACAGCGUGUCCCACUCCAACUUCCAGAUCGUCAAGCUGCUUCUGGAUGCAGGUACAGAGGCUGCCCAGUUGUUCCCCUGAGAGCGCUCAUGUUGUGACUUGUCUUCAUGAAGCCAGUUGACCCAUACCGUAGUUCUUUGGCCAUCCUAAAGUCUUCUCAUUGCUUCUCCACGUGACAUGGCAAGAAUGUUGUCCUUGAGUCAUGGAUGGGAGGCUUGAGGUUCACCAAACCUGUGCCAUAAGGAAGCAGAAUCCGGAUCUAUUUUGAAGAAAGGUUGUGGAGAUAUUCUCGAUGCAGGUCAGCUGUCUUCGAAUGGGGUGUACCCCUGCUAAUAGCCGUGACUCACACUUGUUCCUCAGUGAAUCACGCAGGCUUGGCUGGGUUGUCUCGGAGGCAGAGUGCUGCUCACAGACUCAGAGUCACAGUUUUUGU